rnacentral:rRNA from 1 species
AGCGAACGCUGGCGGCAGGCCUAACACAUGCAAGUCGAACGGACCCUUCGGGGUUAGUGGCGGACGGGUGAGUAACACGUGGGAACGUGCCCUUUGGUUCGGAACAACUCAGGGAAACUUGAGCUAAUACCGAAUGUGCCCUUCGGGGGAAAGAUUUAUCGCCAUUGGAGCGGCCCGCGUCUGAUUAGCUAGUUGGUGGGGUAAUGGCCCACCAAGGCGACGAUCAGUAGCUGGUCUGAGAGGAUGAUCAGCCACAUUGGGACUGAGACACGGCCCAAACUCCUACGGGAGGCAGCAGUGGGGAAUCUUGCGCAAUGGGCGAAAGCCUGACGCAGCCAUGCCGCGUGAAUGAUGAAGGUCUUAGGAUUGUAAAAUUCUUUCACCGGGGACGAUAAUGACGGUACCCGGAGAAGAAGCCCCGGCUAACUUCGUGCCAGCAGCCGCAGUAAUAC